UCGUCGAGUCGGUGUCCGAACAGCCGACCGCGAACACGCAACUGUGGUCACGGGUGGUCGAGCAACUGCCGGGCGCUCGAACGCGAGUGGCCCCGAGUACAAAAGUGAAGCUGACUGUGGGCGGUCAGAACCGGCGCGUGCUUUCCCCGGAGAUUUACCGGCGAAUGAUCACCGUGACGCCGUCCCCCAGCUUCCGGUCGAACCGCCUGGACCGCAUCGUGACGCCGCACUGACCUGUCGUGACAUGAGCUACGUCAUGGUCGAUAUCGAGUCGGACGGUCCCAUUCCCGGCGACUACUCCAUGAUUUGUUUCGGUGCGGUGAUCGUCGAACCGACGCUCUCCAGGUCAUUCUAUGGGCAGCUUCGUCCCAUUUCGGACCGCUGGGAUCCCGAGGCGCUCGCGGUGAGCGGUUUUACCCGCGACGAGGUUU
rnacentral:misc_RNA from 1 species